UACGGAGGAUGCAAGCGUUAUCCGGAAUGAUUGGGCGUAAAGCGUCCGCAGGUGGCUGUGUAAGUCUGCUGUUAAAGAGUGAGGCUCAACCUCAUAAAAGCAGUGGAAACUACACAGCUAGAGUGCGUUCGGGGCAGAGGGAAUUCCCAGUGUAGCGGUGAAAUGCGUAGAUAUUGGGAAGAACACCGGUGGCGAAAGCGCCUUGCUGGGUCUGCACUGACACUGAGGGACGAAAGCUAGGGGAGCGAAAGGG
rnacentral:rRNA from 1 species